rnacentral:rRNA from 1 species
GAGCGCACGUAGCAAUACGUGAGCGGCAGACGGGUGAGUAACACGUGGGAACGUCCCCCUCGGUUCGGAAUAACUCAGGGAAACUUGAGCUAAUACCGGACACGUCCGAGAGGAGAAAGAUUUAUCGCCGAGGGAUCGGCCCGCGUCUGAUUAGCUAGUUGGUGAGGUAACGGCUCACCAAGGCGACGAUCAGUAGCUGGUCUGAGAGGAUGGCCAGCCACACUGGGACUGAGACACGGCCCAGACUCCUACGGGAGGCAGCAGUGGGGAAUCUUGGACAAUGGGCGCAAGCCUGAUCCAGCCAUGCCGCGUGAGUGAUGAAGGCCUUAGGGUUGUAAAGCUCUUUCGACGGGGACGAUAAUGACGGUAUCCGUAGAAGAAGCCCCGGCUAACUUCGUGCCAGCAGCCGCGGUAAU